rnacentral:rRNA from 1 species
GACGAACGCUGGCGGCGUGCCUAAUACAUGCAAGUAGAACGCUGAAGAGAGGAGCUUGCUCUUCUUGGAUGAGUUGCGAACGGGUGAGUAACGCGUAGGUAACCUGCCUGGUAGCGGGGGAUAACUAUUGGAAACGAUAGCUAAUACCGCAUAAUAUUGACUAUUGCAUGAUAGUUGAUUAAAAGGUGCAAUUGCACCACUACCAGAUGGACCUGCGUUGUAUUAGCUAGUUGGUGGGGUAACGGCUCACCAAGGCGACGAUACAUAGCCGACCUGAGAGGGUGAUCGGCCACACUGGGACUGAGACACGGCCCAGACUCCUACGGGAGGCAGCAGUAGGGAAUCUUCGGCAAUGGACGGAAGUCUGACCGAGCAACGCCGCGUGAGUGAAGAAGGUUUUCGGAUCGUAAAGCUCUGUUGUAAGAGAAGAACGAGUGUGAGAGUGGAAAGUUCACACUGUGACG